GCAGAAUACACCAAGACGCCCCCCUCGCAUGGAUGUGUCAAUGAUCACCCCAGAAUCCGCCACAAGCUGGGGUCCCUCAUAGAGCUUCACCCUGUCCAGGAUUCCAGGAUAGGAGUAUCCAUUGGUGCUAGGGUGCCAGUGGGCACUGUGCCACCAUGCCUGGGGCCUUGCUUUUCCCCAGCCCCCCUUGAGCUCACCAGGCCUGAGAGAGAAGGGAGGGAGGGAAAGGGAGGCAGGAAGGAGAGGGAAGGGGGGUGCUUUUCUCAGGCCUGGGGCCCCUAGCUCUUUGUCCAGCUCCUUUUGCAUCUCAAAGCACCAGCCGCAUUCCAAGCGAGGAUUGGGUUGCCAUGACAAUAAGCACAAUGGGCUGGGGGGUGAAGUCACCCGCUUCCCAGGCUCUAGUCCACCCCCUUUUAUCCCCUGUCCUGGCACCCCACAGCCCCAGGCACCUUAAAGGGGAACCAACCCAGGUUCCUGGACUCUGGGCUCUUGGCCAUGGAAAGUCCAGCCUCUAAGCAGACCCAUUUCCCCUCCCUUCCUGUUCAUCUCCACCAACUAGGGCUACUUGUUGGAGAGAAAUGCAAAGUUGUGGACAAAGUGUUGAACCGAGGCCUGUGAAGUCAGGGCCUUGAUUUUCUCUUCUGUAAAUGAUGAUGCCUUCCAGGUCAGAUGAUCCCUAUCCACGUUGAUAAGACAGGUUCCAGGUCAUACCAACUAAGGGACCAGAUGUGAUGUGCCCCUUCACAGAUUGGCCUGGGUUUGGAGGCUUCUGGAGAACUGUAAAGGGCAUCUAACCCAAUGCCCUCAUUUUACAGACGGGAAAAUGGGUCAUGGAGGAGUGACUUCACCAACAUCACUCAUAGGUGCUUGUGUCCGUGGUGAGAAGGGUGAUGGAGAGAAGUGGCUGCAGUUCCCACCCAUGGAGAGGUCACUGGUGAAUCCCAGCUAAAGAGGAAGGACAGGCCCGGCCUGAGUCCCACAGAGUCCAGCUGGGAGCUAUUUGGCAGCUGUGGGCAGUUGUCCUUGGUGUCCUGAUGCCCAUCCCCAUCGCUAAUCAGAAGAACAGGUUGGUGAAAGUCCCGAACUUUGUCUCCCCACCCAGAGGACAACUGGCCAGGAAAUCUGCCUGUUUCUUGUCUCACCCUCUAGUCCACACUCUGCCUAACACUACGCCCUACCUCACAUUCCUAUUGACAUCUGCUGCAGGUAAUCUCUCCUCACCCAGGCCAACGUCCACAAGCCUGCCUCCCUAUUUCACAGAGACUUCCUAGCUUCCCUGCUUCAUCCCCACCUGAUCCAAAUUCUCACAGGUCCCCCAGCCACCCCUUCAGCCCCAGGCCUGCACCAUCCCCAUCCACGUCGUUGUCACAGGCAUCUCCUUCCCCAUUGCCAUCUGUGUCCUUCUGGUCAUUGUUGGGAACGUUGGGGCAAUUGUCACAGGCAUCACCAAAUGAAUCUGUAUCUGAGUUCUGCUGGUCUUU
rnacentral:lncRNA from 1 species